UACGUAGGGGGCAAGCGUUGUCCGGAUUUAUUGGGCGUAAAGAGCGUGUAGGCGGCCUGACAAGUCUGCUGUGAAAACUCGAGGCUCAACCUCGAGAUGUCGGCGGAAACUGUCUGGCUAGAGUCCGGAAGAGGAAUGCGGAAUUCCAGGUGUAGCGGUGAAAUGCGUAGAUAUCUGGAGGAACACCGGUGGCGAAGGCGGCAUUCUGGACCGACAUUGACGCUGAGGAGCGAAAGCCAGGGGAGCAAACGGG
rnacentral:rRNA from 1 species